ACUCCCCAGCUGUGAAAGGAGGAGCUCUACGGUGACUUUGAAGACUUGGAAACAGGGGACAUGCACAAGGGAAAAUCGGGCCCCGACACUCAGAAUGAAGAUAUAGAGAAACAAGGAAGAAAUUGACCCCGACGAAGAAGAAAGUGCCAAGAAAAAGCAUUUGGAUAAGAAGAGAAAAUUGAAGGAGAUGUUUGAUGCGGAAUAUGAUGAAGGAGAAAGCACAUAUUUUGAUGAUCUUAAAGGAGAAAUGCAGAAAGAAGCACAGGUUUCUCCCCCCUCCCCCCACCCCGUCAUGUACAGCUGAAUCACGUAGAAUUUGAAGAUCAAGAUGAUGAAGCCAGAGUUCAGUAUGAUGGUUUUCGACCUGGGAUGUACGUCCGCGUUGAGAUUGAAAAUGUUCCCUGUGAAUUUGUGCAGAACUUUGACCCCCAUUACCCCAUUAUCCUGGGUGGCUUGGGCAACAGCGAGGGAAAUGUUGGACACGUGCAGAUGCGUCUGAAGAAACAUCGCUGGUAUAAGAAAAUCCUCAAGUCCCAAGAUCCAAUCAUAUUUUCUGUAGGGUGGAGGAGGUUUCAGACCAUCCUGCUCUAUUAUAUUGAAGACCACAAUGGAAGACAAAGGCUUCUAAAGUAUACCCCACAGCACAUGCAUUGUGGAGCAGCCUUUUGGGGUAAAAUAUGAUUACAAUAACUUGCCUAUUGCCGAGAUUAAACUUUACAGGCUGCGUUAUUUUA
ensembl:lncRNA novel transcript